GACGAACGCUGGCGGCGUGCUUAACACAUGCAAGUCGAACGGAAAGGCCCUGCUUUUGUGGGGUGCUCGAGUGGCGAACGGGUGAGUAACACGUGAGUAACCUGCCCUUGACUUUGGGAUAACUUCAGGAAACUGGGGCUAAUACCGGAUAGGAGCUCCUGCUGCAUGGUGGGGGUUGGAAAGUUUCGGCGGUUGGGGAUGGACUCGCGGCUUAUCAGCUUGUUGGUGGGGUAGUGGCUUACCAAGGCUUUGACGGGUAGCCGGCCUGAGAGGGUGACCGGCGACAUUGGGACUAAGGUAGGGACCAGACUCCUACGGGAGGCAACAGUGGGGAAUAUUACACAGUGGGCGGAAGCCAGAUGCAGCAACGCCGGGUGCGGGAUGACGGCCUUCGGGUUGUAAACCGCUUUCGCCUGUGACGAAGCGUGAGUGACGGUAAUGAGUAAAGAAGCACCGGCUAACUACGUG
rnacentral:rRNA from 1 species